GCUUUGCUUUCAGUUUGAUGGACACAUUUUCUUCCAGAAUAUUUAGUGAAUAUAUGUUAUGUUAUUUUGUGCCACACAUAUCAACAUCACUGUCACUCUAAAAUUUCAACAAAGUGACUUUAGUUUUAUAACUAGUCAAAGUAGGAUUUUAGAAACAAUAUUUACUGUAUCUCUGGUCAUUUUUAUAUUUUCAUUAGGCUUCAUGUAUUGUACAGUUGACCUGAAAAUCUUCUUCUAUGUCUUAAUUUUACUAUGAGAGAGAACAGUCAAAGAAUUUUGGCAGAAUGUAACAGUGAAAUAAGGGUGAAAUGGUUUCUUCUAACUCUUUACCUCAUAACUGGGAAUGUGUUUGCUGAGUUUGUUGUGUCAAAGUCAGAGAGCCGUGUCUCUCUACAGUGAGAGGUUUUUGUACGGCGGCUCAAUGAGUUUGUAUCACUGUGGUGGACUUUUGGUGGAGGAACCAGACUGGAAGUUAACUUGGGUCGAGUCGUCCCCACCCUGACGGUGCUGCCCCCCUCCAGUGAGGAGCUGCAGCAGGGGAAGGCCACGCUCAUGUGUCUGGCCAACAAGGGCUUCCCCUCAGACUGGAGUCUGUCCUGGAAGGUGGACGGCAGCAGCAGCAGCA